rnacentral:lncRNA from 1 species
AUGAUGGGCAGGAGAAGAGGGAAGAGGUUAGUCUAAAACUCCAGGAGCUUGUGGCUGGAGAAAAGAGCACUUGGUGCUCUUGCAGAAGACUCAGGUUCCGUUCCAAGCAACCACAGUAUGGCUAACAAACCUGUAUCGGUGCCCUCUCCUGGCCUGUGCAGGCACUGCAUGCAUAUGGUACGCUUACAUACAUGCAGGGAAAUCCCUCGUACACAUAAAAAGAACCUUAAAAAACCUCUUCGUGCUGGAAACGGGGUCUCACCACACAGACUCAGCUGACCUGGAGUUCACUGUGUAGACUAGGCUGGCUUCAAAACUUUCAUCUCUUUGAAGUCUCCUGUCUCUUUCCAUGUUUGAUUUAGGUUUCAUCCUGCCUUGAUCCAGGGAUGAGAGCAGAUGGUGACACAAGGCCCCAAGGGCCCAGACUUGCUAGAGGAAGAACUACGGGAACUUGUGUGUAAUUUCUACAACGGUUGGGAUUGGUUUAAAGAGAUUCAAAUCUAUAGCACUGUCAUGUGACUUGUAGAGAUUGUGCAAAAGGCAAGGUGAGAAAGGGCUGUGCUUGGCAAAACACAUCACCAGAAGCAUCCUCUUUUGUCCAUUCCCUCCUUACUCUCUGAAUCUCUAAGCAAAAAAGAGCAAAGAAAAAUGAGCUGGGGGGGGGUGCGGGCGAUGGUGGUGCACACCUUUAAUCCCAGCACCUGGGAGGCAGAGGCAGGGGAUCUCUGAAUGCUAAACUCAGUUCCCCUGAAAAAGCAGCAAGCAUCUUAACUGCUGAGCUAUUUCUGUGGCCCCUUGAAAUUUUAAAGAUAGUCCUUAUUUUAGGGAGCCAACUACUUAGUCUGACAGGUUGGGCUUGGAGCUCUGCUAACUCCUUGUGUUGGGUGAGAUCCUGCCUAGGUGCUCCUUCCUUAAGUACAGGGAAUGUUGUUGGCUUGGCUGUUGCCCCUCAUAGGAGCUGCAUUUACUAGGGAGAGAAAACAAAUCAAAAUGACCAAGGUCGUUUGUCCUAUGCUCAAGUCAUUUCAAAGAGUGUGUGUGUGUGUGUGUGUGUGUGUGUGUGUGUGUGUGUGUGUGUGUGUGUGUGUACUAUGUGCAUGCAUACUCUGUACUCAAACACUCAAACUAGCUGUCUCUUUGCUUCAGCAUCCCAAGUGAUGGGAUCACACCCAUGCUGCCUCAAGUUUACUAUUUUGUCUCCUUGUCCCAAAUAGGGAGAACUCUGAAGAGUCAUCCUAACUUUAAAACCACAUGAGGACUCGGGGUGUACCUCAGUGGUAAAGUGCUUUGCCUUGCAUUUAUGAGGCACUGGGUUCUAUCCUUAGUAUACAUUCAAAAGCCAAUAAAUAGUGCAACUGUCAACACAUGAGGGUUAGCUCUGGCCUUUCUGGUACAUGACACAGCCACUUAGUUUCUCCCUCUAUCCAUCCUGCCCCACUUUCUGGGUGUGAUUAGCCUCCAACCAGCAAAUCCCUAGCCAACCCCACAAUCUCCCUUUUGGUCCUGAUUAAGCCCAGUAAAAGAGGGAACAUAGUUUUGAGAAUGUUUGUCAAGUAGUCAACAUAUGUUACUUCCUUUAACCUAUGUAGCUAAUGAAAGUGAUCACCCUACCUAACAGAUAUAGUGACUAAGGAAUUAAUUGCCCAAAGGUCCUACAGUAGAGCCAGGCUGAGACGGAAAGUCACAGCUGCAAGUCAAGGUCUUUGGGGCAGGGGUAGGGAUAGGGAUGGCAUUAUUCCUGGUUGAGAAAUACGACUAGCCAUUGCUUGAUAUGUGUUGUGUUGUGCUUGGGUGGUGUGAGGGACCAACAUACGAUAGUGGUUGUUCCACUACUGAGCUUCAUCCAUACCCCUACAGCUGGGACUCAAACCCAUAUCCAUUUGGUUUUCAAGGCUACCUUCCUUCCAUUGGCCACACCACCAUUUCAAAACAGGUCAGAGGGCUGAAGCUCAAAGAUAGAACAUACUCGGACUUAAGAAAGCCCUGGGAUAUUCAGUCCCCAACACCAAAACCAAGCAAAAUCAGCAAUGCAUGUGGGAGUUAGGACAUUAGCUUACUGUUGGUCAUAUUCUGAAGUCUAAGUCUACUGGUUGUUUUUCCUUUAAGCUCUUCAGCUGAGAAAAGGACACAGCAAAAACAAAACUGAGUUUUAAUGAGAAAGGCAAGGGCAAUUUGUCUACUCUCAUGGAAUCAAAUGGGAGAAACUUGGGGAAACUCUGCCGUGAGCCUCUUGUAUUAAAAAUGAGGAUGCAUCCUAGAGAGGUCACAUGACUAGUCAAGUUCACACAGCCCGUCUAUGGCAGAGCCCACACAGUCUGUAGUCUCACCCCACCCGCCACUUCUGCCUCAGCUUUGGGCUGACCUGGAACUGACCAGCAGUUCCCAGCCUGGCCCCAGCUACUCCCUCAGGACCUCCCUCUCUCCUCUCACCUGCUUCUCCACAGUGCUUGGCUUUGAUCUUGCUUACCAGGGCUGCCUCAGCCUCAGGCUGCCCACCACCCUGAUUGCCACAGGAAUCCUGUCCUCAUGUCUCUGAACAGGUUUGACAGCCAGCAGAGGGUAGGAAUGAAAAGCAUGGUAGGGCUCUUGCUCCCAGGCUGGGCCUCUCUGUCUGCCCUCAGCCCUGAGAAAUACAAGGCAGGCUUGCUCCUCAGGUAGAGCCAGGAAGCCACAGAAACUGUAAACGUCUGUCCCCCUCCCUGCUCAAUCUCUGACUUGCCACACCUUCCUGUGGGGAAGGGACACCAAAGGCCUGUAGAGAGAUGCCUCCUGGCCCCCUUUGUCCAUCAGAACUCAAGCCUGAAGCUCUCCCUUAGACAGCCUUUUUGCAUUCUUGCAGCUCCCCAUCUCAUCACUGGUGUGUGCUCCCUCCCACUUCCCUUUCCCGUGUCCCAUCUCAAUUACAGCCUUCCAGGACUGUUUGUACCUCAGGGCGGAUGGUGUGUGUCCUCAGGAAGCCCCUGACCAAAAGGGAUCUGGGUUGGCGGGGUGGUUUGGAGGUGGUGGCAAGGCACACACAGGCCCCUUCUUCAUCCCUAGCAUGUUUUCGCUUUCCUCAGCCUGGUGAGUCAGCAGCACAGGGCCACACACAAGGCUCCCAUUCAGGGCUCAGCUUCCUUCUGCUAUAACUCAGGUCUUGGCAUUUCUCCCUCCCUCAUUCUCUAUGUGGGCCUCAUUCUCACCAUGGGAAAACUCUGCUCCCUGCCCCUGGCCUCCUCACCUUCCCCCAGCACCCACAUCACUUCACAUUCCUCACUUUGGCUUUCUGGGAGUCUGUAAUCCCAGCUAGCUAGACACACAACAAAAUGAUACCUCAGUGAAUCUUCAUUUGCAUAUCCAAUAGGGAUUUAUUGGUAUGUUAGCAUAAGUCUGUAAUCCUGAGUUGAAGGUCAGCCUGAGCUAUAUAGCAAGAUACUGUCUAAAGUAAAUAAAUACAGAUGAAACCC